GCGCGUUUCCUCGUACUCGUAAAACAUAUACUGAGCGCGUAACUAAGUGCGAGUGUGUUAGUACUAGAACUCUCACAAUUACAAGUGUUGUGUCAACGCAACAAAAGUAUAAUAAAAAAAGAGUCAUAUUAUCUCAUCGCGUUGGUGGUUAGCUCUCAGUGUCACUGGGGCUAGUUACUAUCUAUUAAAAAUCAAAUUUAUUGUAAAAACAACGCCGAGUGUAUAAUAUAAAGUGGGUGUUUUAUUUAAAGAACUGUGCCUCUAUUUAAAUAAAUACUUAAAUUAUUAUUGUAUUAAAGUUUCUAAAAGUUUACUAGGAUUUAUUUAAUAGACAAGCCAUGGGUAACGUCCACACUUGCGGUCCAAACGAAGCUCUCGUCGUCUCAGGAGGAUGUUGCGGAUCUAUGAAAAAACGAACGAUUGUAGGCGGGUACGCAUUCUGCUGGUGGUUUGUUACGGAUGUCCAACGUCUGUCUCUGGAGGUAAUGACUCUAAACCCGGUGUGUGAGAGCGUCGAAACAGCCCAGGGUGUCCCACUAACCGUGACUGGAGUCGCCCAGUGCAAGAUAAUGAAGGCUGAUGAAUUACUGCAUACUGCGAGCGAGCAGUUUUUGGGGAAGAGCACUCAUGAAAUUAAGUGCACUAUCUUGUCUACUUUGGAGGGACAUCUUAGAGCUAUUCUUGGUACGCUGUCGGUCGAAGAAGUUUACAAAGAUCGCGACCAAUUCGCAGCACUAGUACGCGAAGUUGCUGCUCCGGAUGUUGGACGUAUGGGAAUAGAGAUAUUGUCGUUUACUAUCAAGGAUGUUUAUGAUGAUGUUCAAUAUUUAGCUUCUCUGGGUAAAGCUCAGACGGCUGCUGUUAAACGUGAUGCUGAUAUUGGUGUUGCUGAGGCUAAUCGUGAUGCUGGAAUUCGGGAAGCUGAAUGUGAAAAAACAGCAAUGGACAUAAAAUACAACACGGAUUCUAAAAUAGAAGACAACGCCCGUCUCUUUCAACUACAAAAAGCGAAUUUCGAUCAAGAAGUCAAUACAGCUAAAGCCGAAGCUCAGCUUGCCUACGAACUUCAAGCGGCUAAAAUAAAGCAGAAAAUAAGAAAUGAGGAGAUUCAGAUUGAAGUUGUCGAGAGACAUAAGAUGAUAGAGGUUGAAGAACAGGAGGUCCGUCGUAAGGAACACGAGCUUAAGAGUACUGUUCGUUUGCCUGCUGAAGCUGAGCAUUAUAAGAUGACCACUGUUGCGGAAGGAAAAAGAACGCAAACUGUUGAAAAUGCUAAAGCCGAAGCCGAGAAAAUAAGAUUGAUAGGAGAAUCAGAAGCUAAAACAUUAGACAUUAUUGGUACCGCAGAGGCCGAAAGAAUGCGUUUGAAGGCCCAAGUCUACAAAAAAUAUAACGAGGCUGCUAUAUUGAAUAUUGCUUUGAACGCAAUGCCUAAGAUUGCCGCCGAGAUCGCUGCCCCUCUGGCGAGAACAGACGAAAUCGUACUACUGGGAGGUAACGACGGCGUAACUAACGAACUGACCCGUCUGGUGGGUCAAGUACCACCGGCGGUGCAAGCACUCACUGGUGUUGACCUUUCUAAAGUUUUAGGAAAAAUUCCGGGGGCUAAAUAAUUCAAAUGUUUAACUAUUAUUGAUAAUGAUAAUGAAAAAACUAACUAACUAACUAACUAACUAAUCCCUAAAUCUACGUUGAAAUUAACAAUAACUAAAAUAACUAACACUAAUUUUAUUAUGAUGUUCAUUCAAGCUUGUAUAGCAGUUUAAAUUUUUAAUUGACCUCUACCUCAUUAAUUUGGACGUAGAUUCUGGUUGUUUCACAUCUUUAUCACGCGCACAUUAUUAUUUCUUACGAUGGUCUUGUUUUGUUUUAUUUUUAUAUAAAUAUAUAUAUAUAUUUAUUUAGGCCUGAUAAUUAUUUACACAGCAAUAGAAAAGAGUGACCUGAAAUCUUUUUAUACACAUUUAUUUCUUACAGUACAUUCCAGAUUUUCGAUACUAAUUUUAUUGCAUUGCACUGCUCCCGAGUAAAAAAAAUUAUAUAUAAUUAUAUA
rnacentral:misc_RNA from 1 species